GUGUGCGCUUCAGCAACACUUAUACUAAAAUGGAGAUGAUACAGAGAAGAUUUAGCAUGGCCCUUGCACAAAGAUGACGCACAAAUUUAUGAAGCGUGGCAUAUUUUU